rnacentral:tRNA from 1 species
GCCGAGGUGGCAGAGCUUGGACUAACGCGCGGGCCUGGAAAGCUCGUUUCCCUUGUGGAAGCUUGGGUUCGAAUCCCAACCUCGGCG